rfam:Kluyvera intestini strain GT-16 tig00000000, whole genome shotgun sequence.
AUCUUCACGGUUACGCUGCGCCCGGUCUCAAAUCCCGCCUCUUUCAACCCGUCGCCUUUGAGAUAAAAGCUGGAAUGUUGUGAGUAGUACGUGGUAAUGCGGGUUUUGCUGUUUAUGUGGCGGGUUCUG